rnacentral:rRNA from 1 species
GCUUACGACCAUAUCACGUUGAAUACACGCCAUCCCGUCCGAUCUGGCAAGUUAAGCAACGUUGAGUCCAGUUAGUACUCACAGGUAAACCGGCAUGGCCGAAUGGUGGUCCACU